rnacentral:rRNA from 1 species
GAUGAACGCUAGCGAUAGGCUUAACACAUGCAAGUCGAGGGGCAGCAUGGUCUUAGCUUGCUAAGACUGAUGGCGACCGGCGCACGGGUGCGUAACGCGUAUGCAACUUGCCUCACAGAGGGGGAUAACCCGUCGAAAGACGGACUAAUACCGCGUACACUUGGGAUAGGGCAUCCUGACCCAAGGAAAUGAAAUUCGCUGUGAGAUAGGCAUGCGUCCCAUUAGCUAGUUGGUGAGGUAACGGCUCACCAAGGCGACGAUGGGUAGGGGAACUGAGAGGUUGAACCCCCACACUGGUACUGAGACACGGACCAGACUCCUACGGGAGGCAGCAGUGAGGAAUAUUGGUCAAUGGGCGAGAGCCUGAACCAGCCAAGUCGCGUGAAGGAUGACUGUCUUAUGGAUUGUAAACUUCUUUUAUACGGGAAUAACAAGAGCCACGUGUGGCUCCCUGCAUGUACCGUAUGAAUAAGCAUCGGCUAACUCCGCG